GGUCUCGUGGCCGAGUGGCUAGGCAGCGGUCUGCAAAACCGUCUACAGCGGUUCGAAUCCGCUCGAGACCUCCA
rnacentral:tRNA from 1 species